CCUCCUUUAGAGUUUGAUCCUGGCUCAGAUUGAACGCUGGCGGCAGGCCUAACACAUGCAAGUCGAACGGUAACAUUUCUAGCUUGCUAGAAGAUGACGAGUGGCGGACGGGUGAGUAAUGCUUGGGAACUUGCCUUUGCGAGGGGGAUAACAGUUGGAAACGACUGCUAAUACCGCAUAAUGUCUUCGGACCAAACGGGGCUUCGGCUCCGGCGCAAAGAGAGGCCCAAGUGAGAUUAGCUAGUUGGUAAGGUAACGGCUUACCAAGGCGACGAUCUCUAGCUGUUCUGAGAGGAAGAUCAGCCACACUGGGACUGAGACACGGCCCAGACUCCUACGGGAGGCAGCAGUGGGGAAUAUUGCACAAUGGGGGAAACCCUGAUGCAGCCAUGCCGCGUGUGUGAAGAAGGCCUUCGGGUUGUAAAGCACUUUCAGUUGUGAGGAAAAGUUAGUAGUUAAUACCCUGCUAGCCGUGACGUAAC
rnacentral:rRNA from 1 species